rnacentral:rRNA from 1 species
UCCCCAUCUCAAUAGCGGAGGAAAAGAAACUAACAAGGAUUCCCCUAGUAACGGCGAGUGAAGCGGGAUGAGCUCAAAUUUAAAAUCUGGCGGUCUCAGAUCGUCCGAGUUGUAGUCUAGAGAAGCGUUUUCCGUGCUGGCCUGUGUACAAGUCCGUUGGAACACGGCGUCAUAGAGGGUGAGAAUCCCGUCCUUGACACAGAUCUCCAGUGCUUUGUGAUGCGCUCUCAAAGAGUCGAGUUGUUUGGGAAUGCAGCUCAAAAUGGGUGGUAAAUUCCAUCUAAAGCUAAAUAUUGGCGAGAAACCGAUAGCGAACAAGUACCGUGAGGGAAAGAUGAAAAGCACUUUGGAAAGAGAGUUAAACAGUACGUGAAAUUGUUGAAAGGGAAACGAUUGAAGUCAGUCAUGCUUUCCGAGACUCAGCCGGUUCUGCCGGUGUACUUCUCGGUUUGCAGGCCAGCAUCAGUUUUGGGCGGUGGAAAAGGUUGGCGGGAAUGUGGCAUCCUCGGAUGUGUUAUAGCCCGCUUUCGAAUACAUCGCCCGGGACUGAGGAACGCAGCACGCCUCUUGUAGGUCGGUCUUCGGACACGUCCGGCU